AUUGAACGCUGGCGGCAUGCCUUACACAUGCAAGUCGAACGGUAGCGGGCCUUCGGGUGCCGACGAGUGGCGAACGGGUGAGUAAUGUAUCGGAACGUACCUUUCAGUGGGGGAUAACGUAGCGAAAGUUGCGCUAAUACCGCAUAUUCUGUGAGCAGGAAAGCAGGGGAUCGCAAGACCUUGCGCUGAUUGAGCGGCCGAUAUCAGAUUAGCUAGUUGGUGAGGUAAAGGCUCACCAAGGCGACGAUCUGUAGCGGGCCUGAGAGGAUGAUCCGCCACACUGGAACUGAGACACGGUCCAGACUCCUACGGGAGGCAGCAGUGGGGAAUUUUGGACAAUGGGGGCAACCCUGAUCCAGCCAUGCCGCGUGAGUGAAGAAGGCCUUCGGGUUGUAAAGCUCUUUCGGCCGGGAAGAAAUCGUAUCAGCUAAUACCUGGUGCGGAUGACGGUACCGGCAUAAGAAGCACCGGCUAACUACGUGCCAGCCGCCGCAGUAAGAC
rnacentral:rRNA from 1 species